rnacentral:rRNA from 1 species
CCUACGGGAGGCAGCAGUGAGGAAUAUUGGUCAAUGGGCGGGAGCCUGAACCAGCCAAGUCGCGUGAGGGAUGACGGUACAGCGUAUCGUAAACCUCUUUUGUCAGGGAACAAAGGCGUGCACGUGUCCCCGGAUGAGUGUACCUUAAGAAAAAGCAUCGGCUAACUCCGUGCCCGCAGCCGCGGUAAUACGGGGGAUGCGAGCGUUAUCCGGAUUUAUUGGGUUUAAAGGGUGCGAAGGGGGUCGGUUAAGUCAGCGGUAAAAGUUCGGGGCUAAACCCCGGGCGGCCGGUGAAACGGGCCGUCUUGAGUUGGAGAGAAGUAGGGGGAAUGCGUGGUGUAGCGGUGAAAUGCAUAG